rnacentral:tRNA from 1 species
UGGUGUAUCGCCAAAUAGGCAAGGCAUUGGUUUUUGACACCAUCAUUAAAGGUUCGAAUCCUUUUACACCAG